UGGGGAAUCUUCCGCAAUGGACGAAAGUCUGACGGAGCAACGCCGCGUGAACGAAGAAGGUCUUCGGAUUGUAAAGUUCUGUGAUUCGGGACGAAAGGGUAAAUAGUGAAUAACUAUAGACAUUGACGGUACCGAAAAAGCAAGCCACGGCUAACUACGUGCCAGCAGCCGCGGUAAUACGUAGGUGGCAAGCGUUGUCCGGAAUUAUUGGGCGUAAAGCGCGCGCAGGCGGUUUCUUAAGUCCAUCUUAAAAGCGUGGGGCUCAACCCCAUGAGGGGAUGGAAACUGGGAAGCUGGAGUAUCGGAGAGGAAAGUGGAAUUCCUAGUGUAGCGGUGAAAUGCGUAGAGAUUAGGAAGAACACCGGUGGCGAAGGCGACUUUCUAGACGAAAACUGACGCUGAGGCGCGAAAGCGUGGGGAGCAAACAGGAUUAGAUACCCUGGUAGUCCACGCCGUAAACGAUGGAUACUAGGUGUAGGAGGUAUCGACCCCUCCUGUGCCGGAGUUAACGCAAUAAGUAUCCCGCCUGGGAAGUACGAUCGCAAGAUUA
rnacentral:rRNA from 1 species